AACGAACACUGGCGGCGUGGAUUAGGCAUGCAAGUCGAACGGGAAAGCUCUCUUCGGAGAGUGAGUAUAGUGGCGAACGGGUGAGUAACGCGUGGGAAAUCUGCCCUUAUGUGGGGGAUAACAGACCGUAACGGUCUGCUAAAUACCGCAUGUGUCCCCAGGAUCUCCUAGGGUCUUGGGAAGAAAGGUGGCCUCUCUUUGAAGCUAUCGCAUAAGGAUGAUCCCGCGUCCCAUUAGCUUGUUGGUGGGGUAAUGGCCUACCAAGGCGACGAUGGGUAGCCGGCCUGAGAGGGUGUCCGGCCACACUGGGACUGAGAUACGGCCCAG
rnacentral:rRNA from 1 species